rnacentral:piRNA from 1 species
UGGUAUCAUUUUGAACAUUGGAAAGGCCUA